GGAGGUGUAGCCUAAUUGGUAAGGCAGCAGUCUUGAAAACUGCCGGGUUUACGCCCUUGUAGGUUCGAGUCCUAUCACCUCCG
rnacentral:tRNA from 1 species